ACUACUUUUGGUUUCUGCAAUGCUUCAAAAAAGUUGGUGGACAUUUCAGCCCUGCUGAGGGCAGCGAAAGCCCACUGUUUACCAGGUCUGGGGGUCUGUAUGCAGCUGGAAGAUCUGAUGCAGAAUCUGAGACUGAUGACUGGAGACACUACAGCAGGGGGCUGACAGGAGCCAGUUUCUUCAGUGUGUUUGAGGAGCAGACGAGAAACUUGUGCUGUGCUCUGAGUUGAUGAAGUAGUGUGUGUCGAGCUGAAGGAGAAGAUGGAGAACUGUCUGAUGCUGAUGUUUCUGUGUUAUAUGGUAAAACUCAUCACCUCUGACAGUGUGAGUGUGAGGUUGGUGAAUGGCAAUAAUCCCUGUGCUGGUCGAGUGGAGGUUUAUAAUGAUGGUCAGUGGGGAACAGUGUGUCAUCAUGGCUGGGAUAUGACUGAUGCGGCAGUGGUGUGUAGAGAGCUGGACUGUGGGACGGCUGUAAACACAACACGUAGUGCUCACUUUGGACCGUGAUCAGGACCAAUUUCAAUGGCUCUUGUAGGAUGUAGUGGAUCAGAGACUACACUGAAAGACUGUAGUUCAGACAGCGAGUUUGCACAGUACUGUGAUCAUGAUGAAGAUGCUGGUGUCAUCUGUUCAGGUAAGCUGCUCCAAACCUCAGUCUGUUAUUUCAUCACUAUCUUUCAUAAAUCACACUCAAU